UACGGGGGGGGCAAGCGUUGUUCGGAAUUACUGGGCGUAAAGGGCGCGUAGGCGGUGCUCUAAGUCGGAUGUGAAAACUCUGGGCUCAACCCAGAGCCUGCAUCCGAAACUGGAGUGCUAGAGUUCUGGAGGGGGUAGCGGAAUUCCUGGUGUAGCGGUGAAAUGCGCAGAUAUCAGGAGGAACACCGGUGGCGAAGGCGGGUCUCUGGGCCGUAACUGACGCUGAGGAGCGAAAGCGUGGGGAGCGAACAGG
rnacentral:rRNA from 1 species